UCGCAUAAUGGUCCUAUAUACUAUGGUGUAUCACCGUCGAGAGAGAUGAGUCGUUUGAAGGGGAGGUGCCGUGGCCUGAUAUCGGAAUCCAGCAGGGGCAGUCUGGUAAUCUUCAAGAAAGCCCUAAAGACUCACUUGUUCACUAAAUCCUACGACUUCACAAAUAUGAGGAUUGAGGACAACUUUAGGUGCUAAUAUUACUGUUAGCGGCCCUGUGGAGCGCUGCUACGGCGGCGGACAGGGGCCUGAAACCUCAUCAACGGUAAACGGUAAAUGGGUCCGUCACUGGUCUGGGGUCUUUGCGCGGGCCCAUUUAAUUCGUAUGUUUGAUCAUGUAGGGGUUGCCGGGGGUGGGUGGGUGAAGGGCUGGACUGUGUGUGUGGGUGGGUGCCGGGGGCUGCAGGUGUGGGUGAUAGUAGUGAGCCAAGCCUGGGCAAUGAGAACGUCUCCGGUUGUCGUCUCGUAAAGAUAUAUAAAAUUCGAGGCCACAUUGAAAAAUAUAGUUCCGGUAUAUUUUAAACUGAGAGAGAGAAAGAGAGAGUAGGCUAUAAAGGGGUUGCACGUGACGUCAUCGCAUCGAUCAGCUGAUCAGUCAGCUGCCCCUCAAAGGCCCGCCAUUUUGGGAGGCACAUAUUUACCACAAGAGAACUCCUCAUCUUCCCGCCUCAAUCUUGAAAAUGGUACAUAGUUGUUGUGCAGUUGGUUGCACUAAUAGGGGAGGGAAGGACAAUGUGUCAUUUUAUCGGUUUCCAGCCAACGAGGAACAGCGGCAAAAAUGGACAGCAGCUGUAAAGAGGGAUGGGUGGCAGCCGACUUCUGCUACCCGCCUUUGCAGUGCUCAUUUUGCCAAAGGCAAGAGAGACUCCAAUCCACUCUCACCAGACUUUGUACCUUCCAUCUUUAACCACACACCAAGUCAAAUGCGACUCCAGAAGAUUCGGGAGAUGGAGACAUUUGAAAGGAGGCGGAAGAUGAGGAGAGGGAUGCGAGAAGUAGCAUCCAGUAUGGGUGGGCCUGCAAGUACAGCUGAGGAAUUCAACACGAGCACUAUCUCAGGUGAAGGUGAUGCUACGCUACAGAAUCAGUCAGAUAUAAUGGAUCAAGAUGAAACAUUACCAUUUGUAAAAUCUGUGGACAGAAUCACUGCACAAAGUGUUACAGCCCCAGUUGAUGUGGCUGUAAGUACAGUUUGGGAUCAUGAUUAUAGUACUAUCCAAUCUGAGAAAAUCUGCAAACUCAGAGGACACAGUGAUGAGGCAUGGCAGUUUCCAUCAGAUGCACUAUUAGAUAAAGCACAUAAUAUUGAUAAUAAAACAUCAGUCAGUUCUACAAUGACUGAUAUUAGUCAUGAAUAUAUUAAGUCUCGAACUUGAAUGUCAGUCAUUAAGAAGUAAAUGUCACACUUUAGAAGCAGAAAAUGCUAGGCUGUCAUUAUCAGAAAAAACAUUUGAAAAUGACAGUGGAAAAGUUAAAUAUUAUACUGGAUUGCCUACAUUUCAUGUAUUAAUGCACAUUUUUUAUUUCAUCAGUGACUUUUUGAAGGAACAAUCUAGUUUAACUCCAUUCCAGCAAUUUAUCAUGACUCUAAUGAGGAUCAGGCUUAAUCUGAAUGUUCAAGACUUGGGCUAUAGAUUUACAGUGAAUUCUGCAACAAUAUCUUGGAUCUUUAAUCAUGUUAUUCACGUAUGCUCCUCACGCUUGACACCAUCUUUAGUUUAUUGGCCUGAAAGAGAACACAGUAGAAAUAACCUUCCCGUGGUGUUUAAAAAUUAAUUUCCUCAUUGUGUUGCAAUAAUUGACUGUUUUGAAAUAAGUCUUGAAAGGCCAAGUGAUUUGGGAGCGAGAAAUAAAACUUAUUCCCACUUCAA